ACAUAGUAUAGCUUAACCAAAGCACUUUGUUUACACCAAAACUAUACCUGAUAAUACAGGUUACUAUG
rnacentral:tRNA from 1 species